GACGAACGCUGGCGGCGUGCUUAACACAUGCAAGUCGAACGGAAAGGCCCUGCUUUUGUGGGGUGCUCGGGUGGCGAACGGGUGAGUAACACGUGAGUAACCUGCCCUUGACUUUGGGAUAACUUCAGGAAACUGGGGCUAAUACCGGAUAGGAGCUCCUGCUGCAUGGUGGGGGUUGGAAAGUUUCGGCGGUUGGGGAUGGACUCGCGGCUUAUCAGCUUGUUGGUGGGGUAGUGGCUUACCAAGGCUUUGACGGGUAGCCGGCCUGAGAGGGUGACCGGCCACAUUGGGACUGAGAUACGGCCCAGACUCCUACGGGAGGCAGCAGUGGGGAAUAUUGUACAAUGGGCGGAAGCCUGAUGCAGCAACGCCGCGUGCGGGAUGACGGCCUUCGGGUUGUAAACCGCUUUCGCCUGUGACGAAGCGUGAGUGACGGUAAUGGGUAAAGAAGCACCGGCUAACUACGUG
rnacentral:rRNA from 1 species